AUUGCUUCUCAGCCUUUUGGCUAAGAUCAAGUGUAGUAUCUGUUCUUAUCAGUAUAUGAAAAAGUUAUCAGUACCCCCAUGUUCAUUGCAGCACAAUUCACAAUAGCUAAGAGAUGGGAUCAAACCAGAUGUUGAUCAACUGUUGACUGGAUAAAGAAAUUAUGGUAUAUAUACACUAU
ensembl:snRNA U2 U2 spliceosomal RNA